rnacentral:tRNA from 2 species
GGGUGAUUACUCAGCUGGGAGAGCACCUCCCUUACAAGGAGGGGGUCGGCGGUUCGAUCCCGUCAUCACCCACCA